AAUCCAUACUGUGGGCAAUUCCGCAAAAGAUCCUUGAAUCGCUCCCAUGUCUCAAACAAGGACUGGAGCUCUAUCUGAGUAAAUGGUGAUAUCUCAUUGCAAAGCUU